GGAGAUCUGAGUCUCGAAUACCCUUCUACAGCAAGGAUUGUUCGCAUCUUCACUAGUAGUACAUUUACAGAUACUAAAUUUGAGAGGAAUAUGUGGAUGGAGAAGGCGUAUCCCCGCUUGAAAAGUUAUUGUCGUUCGCGGGGGUACGAGUUUCAGGUGGUGGAUAUGCGUUGGGGAGUGAGAGAUGAGGCUACAGACGAUCACAGAGGAACUGAACUCUGCCUUCGGGAACUCAAGUUGUGCCAGAAACUAUCUACUGGACCUAAUUUUAUAUCAUUGUUGUCACACAAAUACGGUUAUACCUCACUGCCAAGAGAAAUUAAUGCAGAGGAAUUUGAGAUCAUCGUGAAU